AUGGACGGCGACUACGUCUCCGGCCUGCUCAUGGGCUCCGCGGGGCUCGACUUCGGCGUGCCGGGCCUCGACGCCGGCUUCUUCGAGACGCUCUGUGGCGCCGGUGGCGCUGGCGCCGCGGGGCUCGCGGCGAUGUUCGGGGACCGGGCGGCCGGGAUGCCCGGCUUGGGCGGCGGCGGUCGGUUCGGGGCCGCGGAGGGGACCGGCGGCUGCGAGCUCGGCGCCGCGUCCAGGGAGGGCUCCUCCGUCUCCGACCCGGCGUGGGCGUACGGCGCGAAUGCCAGGAAGCGGAAGGCGCCGGCCGCGGGCGCCGGCAAGGGCAAAGAGGCCGCGUCCUGUUUCGCCAAGAUGGGAGAGCCGACGGGGCCGGACUCGAAGAAAUGCAAAAUUGAGGAGGAGACUGUGAGGCCCAAGGUGGAGGAGGAGGCGGCCACGGCCAGCGAUGGGUCGGCCGGCGGGGAGCGAGGCCGCAAGCAGGCCAAGGGCAAGGGCUCCAAGUCCAAGCAGCCGGCGGCGGACGAGCCGCCCAGGGACUACGUCCAUGUCCGGGCCAGGAGAGGCCAGGCGACCGACAGCCACAGCCUUGCUGAGAGGGUCAGAAGAGAGAAGAUCACCCUCAAGAUGAAGAUGCUCCAGGACCUGGUGCCAGGAUGUAACAAGGUGAUUGGCAAAGCGCUCAUGCUCGAUGAGAUCAUAAACUAUGUUCAAUCGCUGCAGCAGCAAGUCGAGUUCUUGUCCAUGAAGCUCUCGACCGUGAACCCGCAACUUGACUUCGACACCUUGUCUAACCUCCUACACAAAGAUAUGAACCAAGCACUUGACCCCUCGGCGAGCACGGUGUUUCCAUUGGAGAGUGCUGGCACGGUGUACCCAUUGUGUGACCAAGCAGACCUUUACCAGUCCUUCAGUUCGGGUGCUAUGGAGAACCAAUGCUCCAUGGGUCUGUUAGACAUGGCUCUACCGCACGCACCGCAGUACCCUUUUCAAAAACAGCAGCAGGAUUUCUGGGAGGCGAGUGCGCAAAAUGGGCUCCAUAUGGACCACGAGCAAAGCCAGGAGAAUGCAGGUUCGGCACCGAAUUUCGAUGGUCAGCUACAAGCAGCAGAUCAUCCAGAGAUUGAGUUCUAG
rnacentral:rRNA from 1 species